UACUAUAAAGGGGAGUAUUACCCUUUAUAGUAGCAACGUAGCAGUAGCA
rnacentral:ncRNA from 1 species